CCUACGGGUGGCUGCAGUGAGGAAUAUUGGUCAAUGGCCGAGAGACUGAACCAGCCAAGCCGCGUGAGGGAAGAAUGUCCUGUGGAUUGUAAACCUCUUUUGUCAGGGAGCAAAGUCACGCACGUGUGGCUGUUGGAGAGUACCUGAAGAAAAAGCAUCGGCUAACUCCGUGCCAGCAGCCGCGGUAAUACGGAGGAUGCGAGCGUUAUCCGGAUUUAUUGGGUUUAAAGGGUGCGUGGGCGGGUUAUAAAGUCAGCGGUAAAAUCCUGGAGCUCAACUCCGUCCCGCCGUUGAAACUGAUGAUCUUGAGUGGGAGAGAAGUAUGCGGAAUGCGUGGUGUAGCGGUGAAAUGCAUAGAUAUCACGCAGAACUCCGAUUGCGAAGGCAGCAUGCCGGCGCCAGACUGACGCUGAAGCACGAAAGCGUGGGUAUCGAACAGGAUUAGAUACCCCAGUAGUC
rnacentral:rRNA from 1 species